rnacentral:tRNA from 1 species
GGGGUUAUAGCUCAGUUGGUUAGAGUACCGCCCUGUCACGGCGGUUGUCGCGGGUUCGAGUCCCGUUAACCUCG